GGGUGAAUUCCGGCAACGUCUUGAUACUGCGCCGGUUGCGUUCCGCCUCUUAAUCAGCGGGUCCACGGUUCGAGCCCGUGCUCACCCACCA
rnacentral:tRNA from 1 species